CAGCGCGUAGCUAAAUAGUAGAGCAUCUCCCUUACACUGAGAAGACACCCGUGCGAACCGGGUCGCACUGA
rnacentral:tRNA from 1 species